rnacentral:lncRNA from 1 species
AAUACUUCAAAAAUUUGUAAUAUCAAUUACAGCCGAAUUUAGUACGCCAGGAGCAAAAAAUUCAAUGAUUCGUUAAAAUAUAGAAAAAGCAAGAAAUAAUCUAUUAAAUUUAGUUAUUUUUGAUUUAUGCUACUAUGAAGAAUAUGUAUGUGAAUUUAGUAAUUAUUUUCAUAAAGGAAGAUUUAAUAAUAAUGAGAAACCUAUGAUCUUAGACUNNNNNNNNNNNNNNAUUUAAUAAUAAUGAAAAACCUAUGAUCUUAGACUUAUUCCUACAUAAAUUACCAUAUCCAACUAAUUUAUUAGUAUUUAAAGACAAUAAAAUAGAAGCUAAAUCAAUAGACAACAUAGGAACUAGGAUGUAAUAUGUAAGAAAUUGGAUAAAUGAUAGAUGUACUCAAGCGACAAAUAUUAGAAACUUAUUACAAUCAGAUAUACAGUUAUGUUGUACAAAAGAUAAACCAAGUAA